rnacentral:snoRNA from 1 species
GCGAAAUGAUGAUAAGAAAUCAUGUCUGUCAAUCCACUGAUAUACUUGUGAUGUAUUCAUGUAUCCCGACAGGUUCUGAUCGC